GACAGAGGGGACUAGCGUUGUUCGGAAUUACUGGGCGUAAAGCGCACGUAGGCGGAUUUGUAAGUCAGGGGUGAAAUCCCGGGGCUCAACCUCGGAACUGCCUUUGAUACUGCAAAUCUCGAGUCCGGAAGAGGUGAGUGGAAUUCCUAGUGUAGAGGUGAAAUUCGUAGAUAUUAGGAAGAACACCAGUGGCGAAGGCGGCUCACUGGUCCGGUACUGACGCUGAGGUGCGAAAGCGUGGGGAGCAAACAGG
rnacentral:rRNA from 1 species